rnacentral:lncRNA from 1 species
UUUUUUUUUUUUUUUUUUAAAUUUAUUUAUUUUUUAUUGAUAAUUCUUGGGUGUUUCUCACAGAGGGGGAUUUGGCAGGGUCAUAGGACAAUAGUGGAGGGAAGGUCAGCAGAUAAACAAGUGAACAAAGGUCUCUGGUUUUCCUAGGCAGAGGACCCUGCGGCCUUCCGCAGUGUUUGUGUCCCUGGGUACUUGAGAUUAGGGAGUGGUGAUGACUCUUAACGAGCAUGCUGCCUUCAAGCAUCUGUUUAACAAAGCACAUCUUGCACCGCCCUUAAUCCGUUUAACCCUGAGUGGACACAGCACAUGUUUCAGAGAGCACAGGGUUGGGGGUAAGGUCACAGAUCAACAGGAUCCCAAGGCAGAAGUUUUCUUAGUACAGAACAAAAUGAAAAGUCUCCCAUGUCUACUUCUUUCUACACAGACACGGCAACCAUCCGAUUUCUCAAUCUUUUCCCCACCUUUCCCGCCUUUCUAUUCCACAAAGCCGCCAUUGUCAUCCUGGCCCGUUCUCAAUGAGCUGUUGGGCACACCUCCCAGACGGGGUGGUGGCCGGGCAGAGGGGCUCCUCACUUCCCAGUAGGGGCGGCCGGGCAGAGGCGCCCGUCACCUCCCGGACGGGGCGGCUGGCCGGGUGGGGGGCUGACCCCUCCCACCUCCCUCCCGGACGGGGCGGCUGGCCCGGCGGGGGGCUGACCCCCCCACCUCCCUCCCGGAUGGGGCGGCUGGCCUGGCAGAGGGGCUCCUCACUUCCCAGUAGGGGCGGCCAGGCAGAGGCGCCCCUCACCUCCCAGACGGGGCGGCUGGCCAGGCGGGGGGCUGACCCCCCCACCUCCCUCCCGGACGGGGCGGCUGGCCGGGCGGGGCCUGACCCCCCCACCUCCCUCCCGGAUGGGGCGGCUGGCCGGGCAGAGGGGCUCCUCACUUCCCAGUAGGGGCGGCCGGGCAGAGGCGCCCCUCACCUCCCAGACGGGGCGGCUGGCCAGGCGGGGGGCUGACCCCCCCACCUCCCUCCCGGACGGGGCGGCUGGCCGGGCGGGGCCUGACCCCCCCACCUCCCUCCCGGAUGGGGCGGCUGGCCGGGCAGAGGGGCUCCUCACUUCCCAGUAGGGGCGGCCGGGCAGAGGCGCCCCUCACCUCCCGGACGGGGCGGCUGGCCGGGCGGGGGGCUGACCCCCCCACCUCCCUCCCGGACGGGGCGGCUGGCCGGGCGGGGGGCUGACCCCGCCACCUCCCUCCCGGACGGGGCGGCUGGCCUGGCAGAGGGGCUCCUCACUUCCCAGUAGGGGCAGCCAGGCAGAGGCGCCCCUCACCUCCCAGACGGGGCGGCUGGCCGGGCGGGAGGCUGACGCCCCGACCUCCCUCCCGGACGGGGCGGCUGGCCUGGCGGGGGGCUGAACCUACCUCCCUCCCUGACGGGGCGGCUGGCCGGGCGGGGGGCUGACCCCCCCACCUCCCUCCCGGACGGGGCCGCUGGCCGGGCAGAGGGGCUCCUCACUUCCCAGUAGGGGUGGCCAGGCAGAGGCGCCCCUCACCUCCCGGACGGGGCGGCUGGCCGGGCGGGAGGCUGACGCCCCGACCUCCCUCCCGGACGGGGCGGCUGGCCUGGCGGGGGGCUGACCCCCCCACCUCCCUCCCUGACGGGGCGGCUGGCGGGGCGUGGGGCUGACCCCCCCACCUCCCUCCCGGAUGGGGCUGCUGGCCUGGCGGGGGGGCUGACCCCCCCCACCUCCCUCCCGGACGGGGUGGCUGCCGGGCGGAGACGCUCCUCACUUCCCAGACGGGGUGGCUGCCGGGCGGAGAGGCUCCUCAUUUCUCAGACGGGGCAGCUGCCGGGUGGAGGGUCUCCUCACUUCUCAGACGGGGUGGUUGCCGGGCAGAGGGUCUCCUCACUUCUCAGACGGGGCGGCGGGGCAGAGAUGCUCCUCACCUCCCAGACGGGGUCGUGGCCGGGCAGAGGUGCUCCUCACAUCCCAGACGGGGCGGCGGGGCAGAGGCGCUCCCCACAUCUCAGACGAUGGGCGGCCGGGCAGAGACGCUCCUCCUUCCUAGAUGUGAUGGCGGCCGGAAAGAGGCGCUCCUCACCUCCUAGAUGGGAUGGCGGCCGGUCGGAGACGCUCCUCACCUCCCAGACUGGGCAGCCAGGCAGAGGGGCUCCCCACAUCCCAGACGAUGGGUGGCCAAGCAGAGACGCUCCUCACUUCCCAGACGGGGUGGCGGCCGGGCAGAGGCUGCAAUCUCAGCACUUUGGGAGGCCAAGGCAGGCGGCUGGGAGGUGGAGGUUGUAGCGAGCCGGGACCACGCCACUGCACUCCAGCCUGGGCACCACCGAGCACUGAGUGCGCAAGUUACCCAUUUGUUUGCUGAGCUGAUCACCAUAUGCUUCUUUCCCCUCCUGCCACCCCAACUGCUCCACCUCUAGUGCUUCCCACCCAAGUCAAUGGGACACCAUCCCUUGGGCACACAGGCUGAACUCCAGCACCAGUGGGUCCUCCCUCACCACUCAGGUUCUAGGGGCUACUGCUGACGUCAGAAUGGAGGGGCAAAAACAAACCCCAACAACAACAAUGGCGACAAUGACAAAAAGGAGAGAGCAGAAGAGGAAACAAACCACAGGCAAGAAUGUCUGCAUGACGAACUCUAGAAUGCGCCCUUGGAGGGAGGAAGCUCAUCCCCCUCUGAGAAGCCAAAGAAAUGAGAAGUGUGGCUGUUUCUCUGUCUCGCCUGCCCUCCCAGCCUCUAGCUACCCGAGCUCUAUGAUCCCUGGGGCCUACAGCUGGCCUGAGGAGGAGCCAGCAGGGCAGGCAGAUGGGCACAGUUCCCAGAGACCAGCCAAGGCCACCAGUGAGAUGCCAUCUAUGCCUGCCUCUUCUGAUUUCUAGCGCCAUCCCUGCACCCCAGCCCCUGCAUCCAAGCCAAGAAAUGGGAACAGAAAUAGAAAAGGCUCUCUAAAAAUAAAUCGGGGAUGGCAAGGUGCAAGAAAAGAGAAAAAUAUAAUGCCACUGCUGGUUUGGGUAUAGUGAGUCCUGCUAGCUUAGGCAGGGCCCAUGUUGAGAGGGCAAGUACCAAGAGCCCUGGCUCCCUUUCAGCCUCUGCUCACAAGCCUGUGGAUGCAACACUUGCAUAACUAUUUGCACAUACCUGGAGAGCCCAUGCUGAGGUGACAUCAGCAAGAACAGCAGGGCUACUGAACUGAGAAGAACAGGGCUCAAAUUCCAAUUCCACCACUUGUUAGCUGUUUGACUUGGGCGAGUUAACCUCUCUGAUCCUACACCUUGUCUGUAAAAUGAGACUACCACUACACACCUCUUGCAGGCUGGUGUAAAAGGAAGGUGAUCUCAUCCGUGGGGUAACGACUGGCCUAAGGGAGAACAUGAAUAAAGGCAAUUUCCCUCCCUUAUUUCUCUCCCUAUGUG